CUAAUUUAAAUGCCAAAUUAAGAGUUUUGACCCCAAUUUUACGGUUCACUGAACAUAGAAAAUGAUAGUGCAAAUUUCAGGUUAAAGUUUUUGGUCAAGGUAGUUUUUGAUGAAGUGAAGUCCAAUCAACUUGAAACUUAGUAUACAUGUGCCCUAUGAUAUGAUCUUUCUAAUUUAAAUGCCAAAUUAGAGUUUGGACCCCAAUUUACGGUUCCUGAACAUAGAAAAUGAUAGUGCAAAUUUCAGGUUAAAGUUUUGGUCAAGGUAGUUUUUGAUAAAGUAGAAGUCCAAUCAACUUGAAACUUAGUAUACAUGUUCCCUUUGAUAAGAUCAUUCUAAUUUUAAUGCCAAAUUAGAGAAUUUAUUCCAAUUUCACAGUCCUUUAAACAUAGAAAAUGAUAGUGUGAGUGGGGCAUCCGUGUACUGUGGACACAUUCUUGUUUAAACUA
rnacentral:lncRNA from 1 species